CCUUCUUUAUGUGAGAAAAAUCCUGAAAAGAGCUAAUGGAGGAAAAGAAUAAACAGAGGCUUCUGAUACAAUCUGAAGACAGAAGACUAAAUGCCCCCAAAACCUUGGUAAUCUGCACUCCAGUAUGGUGGUAAAAUGGCAAUGAAGACAACCUAAGGGUUUCUUCUGAUUUAUGUGAACCUAAAUUUCUCUGCUGUUGUGAUGAGGAUAACCGUUAUUCAAAGAGUGGUAUUCACAGGAAAGACUCCUUAGGAGAGGCACUCCACUCUCUGAUCAUCUCUUUGGACCUCCUCUGGACCUGCUCCAAGAUCCCCACAUCUUUCUUAUGCUGGGAGCCUCUGGCCUGGACAUAGCACUACAGAUGGGGCCUCACGAGGACAGAAUAGAGAUGGACAAUCACCUCCUUCACCGUGCUGGCCACCCAUCUUCUGAUCCAGACCAGGACAGCACUGUCCAUCUGAUCUACUGAAGCACAAUAUUGAAUUGUGUCAAAAUUUUAAUCCACCAUAAUCGCAUAAUCUCCAUAGGGGUUCGUCUCCCAGUCUGCACACUGGAUAUCUGGGAUUGCCUCAGCCCAAAGGUAACAUGUUACAGUUGGCCUUGUUGAACCUCAUUAGAUUCAUGUAAUCCCACUUCUCAAGUCUAUCCAGGUCCCUUUGGUCAGCAUCCCUAACUUCUGUGAGUAACAGAGGUAAAAUCUAGACAAGAGGACUGAAAGUAAGCCAAAAUGAUUUACAAAGAAGUGUAUAUUUUCUCUGUGGUCUAGGUGUUAGAAUAUUACCCUUGGAGAAAAAAUCAUUUUUAAAAAGGCCAAAACCAAUUCCAAAGACUACUUUUAUAUUUAAUUCAAUUAAUCCUUGAUGGAAAAUCCAUCAGUGGACAGAUUUUCCUUAGCUACCAAAAGAAGAUUUUGCUCACACACAGGUUUGUUUUUCAUGUCUCAGUUAAAUAUUUUGAUUAUUUCUUUCUUUCAUUGUUUAAAAGCAGAGUGGAACAGUUUCAAGAGAAGAUGAGAAAUCCUUUAUCCUUUAUCAUUAUAUCCUAUAGUUAACAGUGAUUUUAAAAAAUAUAUAUACUUUUUAAUUUAUUAUUAUUAAUAAAUGGAGAUGGAAGAUAUAAGCUCUUCUUCCUUCCUGAGGAAGAGGAAGAAAUUGAACAUAUCUUUCCUAAUCAAUGUUUAGCUUUGAAUUAUUGCACAAAUAGCAGGAAGGAUUUCUUGCUGUGUUAGUUGGAAGGGAUUUGACAAAUGCUCUUGCAUUUUGUACUGAUUAAUGGAGAAUGCUGAAGCACAGACUGAGUAUCUCUGAGAUCCCAAUGUCCUAAGAAUAGCACAAGUCAGUUUGUUAAUUCUGAUGAAGCAAAUCAUAAAGAAAAGGUAAGCUCUGAAGAGACAUUAGUUUGACUGGUUUGUCUAAUACGCAAUCACAUGGAAAUCAUUAAAAGCAAAGUAUUAUGUUAGAUAUGACUGUCAGCUGACUCGAUACAACCAUUCCAAACUCAAGUUCCAAACAAAAAUUUAAAUGUGUAUUAUAAAAGAACUGAAAAGCAACAACAACAAACAAAAAACCAAAUACUUAAACACUACUGUGAUGCUACUAAGUAAUGUUUUAUGAUAUAAAUGCCAUUGGGCCUUUCCGAACACCUCCUUCAUUGUUCUUCAGCCUUUUUAAAUGUAAGUGGAAAGCUCUUUUUUUAGAAACACUGGUGUUGUACUCUCCUACUGUUAGUUGGCAAUGAAACUCAGUGCAGGUUUUCCUUCAAUAAACAUAUCAGAUUAAUACUGCAUCUUCACUGAAGAAGUUGAACUGGUUGCUAUUUUCAAACCAUUAGAAGGUAUCAUGAAACUAUGUUGCUUAUUUUAAAUUUGUACUCCAUAAGACCUUAUUAACUUAAAGAUUCAUACUACGGGUCCAGAAAUGAGGCUGUGUUAGAGAUUCAAUUUUUCUGACCCUAGGAUGCUAAAGAAUGUUAUUAGGUGUUUUUCACAGAUGGAAGUGAGUACAUGGCUGGGACAUCAAAGAUGAACCACAAUAAAUAUAAACCACAUGUGCAACCAUUUGUUUGUAUGUCAGUGGUUAUAUAAGUUAUUGGCAUGCUUCAGCCAUGCUGGUUAAGUAGGCCUUCCAUGUCAUGGCUGAACAGACCUGGAUUUUCUACUUCAGUAAUGCCCAUGUACAAAAGUAGUGCCCUUAAAACCAGUUAUACAAGUUAAUAACAAUAAGAUGAUUCAUGCACCAGAAAGCUAGUAAUUGUACAAUACAUGAGACAUCAGGUAGAUCCAGAUACAUGAAAGUAAAAACACAGAAAAGACAGGAAAGAAGGGGGAUAGACUCUUUAGCAUGGUCUGUGGUAACAGAAAAAGUAGCAAUGGCAUCAGGCUCAAACAGGGUAGAGAUAGGUUGGACAUAAGGAAAAAGUCUUUUACAAUGAGGGUGGUGAGGCACUGGAACAGUAUGCCCAGAGAUGUGGUUGAUGCCCUGUCCAUGGAGACUUUCAAGGUGAAGCUGGAUCAAGCCCUGUGCAACCUGAUCUAGCUGUGAGUCUGCCAAUUGCAGGGCAAUUAGACUAGAUGGCCUUUAAAGGUCCCUUCCAAUCUAAGGAUUCUAUUUUGAUGAUUCUGAGAAUCUGAAUUUGAGAGUCUGAAUAACACUAGAGAAGGCUAAAUAAAUUAACACCUAAUCUCUUAUUUAGUAAAUUAACUAUAAAGAAAUUUAUUUUUAUAGUGAUUAAAAGACAUUGUAAUAAAAACUAUUGUAUAGUGUUUGGAUAUAUUAGUGAGAUAAUGUUGAAGAAUUUUUCAUACACUUAUCAAAAGAUGAGUUCUUCAGAAUGAAGACUGUUCACUGAACAUAAUUCUAUGGAGACAAAAAGAAAAAAAAAAGUAAUUUCUGAGGAUAGAUGUUGAAUGAUGAAAUAUGUAACUUAAAUAAUAGCAGAUAAGAUGUCAUCAUGCUGGCUGAUGUAGUUGCUCUGUAGGCACUGCUACUGCCCAGGGGAUCCAAGCUGUCUCUGAGAUGAUAGCCUGCAUGUGAUCAUACACCUGUAGUAUCAGAAAAUUCCCUAAUGAGUCUUUAUUGGAAGCAAAACAUAGGUACAGGGGAAGAUGGUCGUUCACUUUCUCAUUCUCCUAUUUUGAAAUCAUCAGAUUCUGUAAAUCUGUUAAAGUUUUUAAAACCUUAUAUUUUCUAGAAAUGAAAUAUUAGCUAGUUCUGCUCCAUAUUUUGUUGUUGUUGUUGUUUUGUUGUUCUAACUGUCAGUGAGUUCAAAGACCUUCUUGAAAAUAGACAUAGAUUCAGUAUUCACUUUUAAUCUACUGACUUCUCAGAUUCUCAUAAACUUCUCCAGGCAGAAAGUACAGUAAUGCUCACUUCAUUUCUAACAAACAAUUUCCUCUUGUAAAUAACAAUUAUCAAUAGCAAUAGAAUAUCUGAACUCCUGGAAUAUUCUAUAUAUCCUCCUGCUGUUGCUUCAGAUGGCUGAUGACUGGUUUUAGUUUUUUGGUUGUUUGUGUGUGUUGUUUUUGUUUGGUUUUUUUUUGUUUGUUUGUUUGUUUAAAGUCAAAUAUGAACAAUAUAGAAUGAGGUAAAUACAGCAUCAAUUAAAACAAUAUUGCAUAGCUAUAUAUUUGCAUGUUGUUGUUUAAAUCUAUUGUAUUCAGAGUUCAUAACAAAUGGUCUGCUGAGUGCUCCCCAGUUGAUUAUGAAGUUAUAAAGGCAUUCCCUAUGGCUGCAUAAUUUCCUUCAAACCUCUUAAUGAAUGGUAUACAUCUCCAGUUUAAUCUAAACAAGAGCUCUUCAAAAGCAACAUAUAAAAUACCUAGCUCUCUGUGUGUUGAAAUAAUAGAUAAGGUGAAUCUAAAUGUUUUGGUAAAGAUUUCUGAGUUCACAGACAGAAACAGUUUCCCCAUAAAAUCAGUCAUCUGCAACUAUUGCACUAAAUAAAAUAUAAGAAAAAUAAAUUAAUUCUUCAAAAGAUAAGACUUUUCUGCUGAGUACUCAACAAGUAUAAGACAUAUCAAUAGUAGUCAAACCACUUUGAAUUUCCUUUUUCUAUCAGGAUUUGCUUUUGGAAUGUUUGGAACUUCCAGGCAAAUAUACUGACUGCAUCUAUUCCAUCCUGACUUUGCAUUUGGGUGUCUAGAUGACAGGUAUACUUUAAAAAGAGCUCUGGAUAAACAAUCCAAACCUUUAAUCGCUGUUGCAGGUGAGCUCCCAUUGCAAGCCUGCAUUGAGCUAUGCCUCCUGACUCAAAUCUAUCCUCCUCCCCCAAGAAAACACACACAAAGAAAGCAAUUCUGAGAUAUGCUUAUCUCAGUGUGUAGAUAUAUUAGCAACACAGAAAUGUUACUAAUGUCUACUUUAAAAUAAAAGAUGAUAAUGUUCCCUAAGUAAAAAUAACGCUUGAUGCAGCUGCUUAGAACUACAUUUUGCAAUGUAUUUGACCCACUGAUUUCAAAAGUAUAUUAUACAUUUAUCCUGCUGCUGAAAUUUUUCACUGUUGGAAACUAUAGAUGGCCUAAAUGACCAAAGUUGAUAGUGAAAAGAGGAGCUAAUUAAACCUAGCAAUUCCCAUCCAAAUUGCUUGCUGUACCAGUGUAGGUGUGAAGACCAGUUUUUUAACAAUCUGUUUUUCAGGACUAAUUCAAAGAUUCAGCACCAACAUAAAAAUAAUCUUUGGUGUUAACUGUCUUUGACAAAAUUUUCUUUGUUAACAAUUAUUUCUCAAACUUGAUACUGAAAAGACUCACUGAGGUAUAAAUAUACAUUUACAUUUUGUACAAAUGCUUAUGGCAGUUCUGAAGUGAUGAUAGUCAAUGUUGUUUAUAGUUUUUCUGUAAAAGAAGCAUAAAAAUAUCUAGUUCCAAUACUAGUUCCAAUCAUAAACCAACAGGACUACAGAUGGUUAACUGAACACUCUUUUCACACAGAUAUCUGAAGAAAAGUAUUCAUAGAAAAGCCCUUAAAGCAAAUAUUCAGAGCGUAGAAAUGACAUAAUGAUGAGUAGACCCAGGAAGUAACCUAGAAAAUGUUCAAUUGAAGGAGGUAAGGAAGGGAUUGGGACACUUGAGUUGUUUUGAAUUAUCUUAACUAAAGCUAUUCUAGGGAAAAUAUUUAAAGCUAACAACAUUUCUCUCUUUUCAUUCAUCUCUAUGCUGUGGACUCCAAAAACUAUUUUUGGCUUAUGUAAGAACACAAGCCACCAAAGUCCUCAGCCUCUUAGGUCUCUGAGUCUGUGGUUGGCAUCGAGAAUUGCAUCAUUUACUUUUCUAUAAUUAGAAAUUUAUGUGCUUUUACAGAUUAAAAUUACUAAAUCCAGGUCUGCGUGCUACAAAGCAUAGUCAUAAAGCACUGUUAGGUAGGACUGAAAAUCUUGUGAAAGCCAACAUUUAAGCAGUGAAUUAUUGUUUUGUGGAAAUCUCACUGUAGAUGUAUGUCUAGCUCAGAUUGCCUUUGUUCUUUUGUUCAUUGUUACAUUCUAUGAAAAAUAAAUAAAUAAAUAAAUAAAAAUAGUUCCACAAGAAGCUAAGCUUGAUAGCACCUAAGAAAUGUAAAUUUAACGUCUCUUUAUCUGAUGAGUAGACAUCUCACUAUAAAGACUGUAACCUACAUAUUCCAUUUCAGUAUUUUGUUGUUGUUGUUGUUUUGCGCGCGCGUGUGUGUGUGUGUGUGUUAAGAGAAAACCACACUUUCUGAAAAAAAAAUCUCAGUGUUAUUUCCAAUAUAUCACAUGAAAUAAGUUGUUCUUCCAGCACAGUGCUGAAUGGAUUCUGACUCGAGUGGAGUGUUAAGUUAGACUGGAAAACAAAUAUACUCUAUAGCUAGAGCUUCAUAAGCAAAAAGCCUUUUUUAAAAUUAUUAUUAUAUAUAUAUAUUUUUUUUUCAGAGCAUUUCAGCUUCCUAAAUGCUGAUAGAAUGUGUGUGUCUUCAAGAUUAGUACAGGCAGGAUGAUGCAGACAUGGACUAAUAUACAGGAUUUAAGAACUGUAUCAUUGAGGAAAACAAACAAAAAAACAAAAAACAACCCAAUAAGAAUCUGAUAUUAAAUAAAUCAGGGACCAUCAAUCUAGAAUGGUUUUUCUUAGAUCAGUGUUGAUUUUCAGUCUGGCUGGCUGAACAUUGGACAGGAAGCUAACUGACAGGAGCAGCACAGUUUUGCUACAUGAAAAGUCACGUCUGCACUUAGAUCCCAGAGACAAUGUCUGCACAGAUCUGUGUGGGUAGGGCUGGAAGAAGUACAAACCUAUGUGGUCUGAACAGCCUGCAACAUGUGUGUAAUGUAGUUUUUGUCAGUGAAACAUUGGCAAAGGGCCAAGUCGAAAGUCUUUUCUAGCGGACUUGAGAAUCACAGAACAGAGUUGGAAGGGACUUCUGCAUCUGUCUCGUCUAAGCACUCCAUUCAAGGAGGGACACUCAGAGCAGAGUGCUUAGGCCCAUGCCCCACAACUUUUGAAGAUCUCCUGUCCUGGUUUCAGCUGGAACUGAAUUGAUUUUUCCUUCACAGUAUAUGUUGUGAUAUUUUGUCUUCAGGAGAAAAGGCAGUGUUGAUAGCAUACCAAUGUUUUAGCUGUUGCUCUACAGAGCCAAGAAUGUUUCAAUCUCUCAGCUUCUUACACUGUCCUGGCAGAAAAGGGACUGGCACAAGGAGUUGGAAGAGAACAGAACCAGGGCAGCUAAUCUAACUAGGCCAAAGGGAUAAUCCAUAACAUAUGGCAUAAUGUAAAAUGACUAUAAGUCUGAGGUCAAUUGUCCAGAGGGCUGCUGCUGUUUGGGGAAUGUCUGGGCAUUGGUCAAUGGGUGGUGAGUAACUGACUUGCGCAUAUACUUUUUUUCAUUGCUAUUAUUUCUCUUUCUUUCCUGUUUUAGUAAAUAAUUUUAAUCUCAAUUUGUGAGUUCUAAUUCUUGUCUUUUUUUAAUUUUUUUUAUUCUCUCCCCCUGGGGAGAGAGUGAAAGGCUAAGCAGUGCUUAGCUGCCUUCUAAGUUAUACCACAUCUCCAAGAAGGAGCCUGCACAACAUGUGCCAGUGCUCCAUUACAUUUGCAGAAAAGUGUUUCCUCGUGUUGAGAUGGAGCUUGUGAGCUUUCUCACUUCUUGCAGAUUAAAGCAGUUUCCCCAGUUCUAGACUCAUCUCAGUGAGAUGCUGUAUCCAUUGCCUUCAGAUUGAAAAAAUACAUUUCAAUCUCACUGUAAAAAAAUAAGCAAAAGGUGAUGCUGAGGCAGCUGUGAAAACCACAAAAACAAAAAUGCAACGUUUAGAUGAGUGGUCCUCUUAACCCAGUGUCUUAUUUCCGACACUGCCUAACAGCAGAGAAUUGGGGAAAAUUAUAGGUAAAAGACAAUCAUGUAAUGAUGCUUCCCCAGGAUAACCUUUACACUUCUAGCAUUUUUGGUUUAGUGAUUCUGUCAAAAAUUCAUUGCUGCCCUGAGUCCUGGAAAGUAGCUUUUCCGUAGCUUUUCAUGACACCAAACUGUACACCAAAAUUAUUUCACUCGUAUCUAUUUCUUGCCUUCACCUUAGUUCAUUAGAUGACAAGGGUAUUCAAAUCAAAUCUGUGUAGAUUACCUUAAUAGAUGUAAUAAUAUCUGUCAGAGAAUAUAAAAAGUUCCCAUUCUGUAAGCAUCCUCCCAGUUUCUGUUCUGUUUUAGAAAACAAGAGCCAUUUUAUGCAGUUUUCCCACUGAUGGCAACACGGUUCCUCAUUUGUUCUAGAAGACAAGUCCUUAAGGACUUUUCAUAAUGUUUAUCAGGAUUGUAAUACUUACUUUCUGUUGUGUUUUGAACAUCCCUUAAGCUGUUGUAAUUCCUCGACUGAAGAGAGUCAAGGAUGCACUGUGCUCAUAGUUUAAACCUUUGAGGUACUUGUAACAUAUUGUGGGAAGAACUAAUCUUAUUCAGCACAUGAAUCCUGCAAAUAUUUUGUAAUAAAAGAAUUUUAGCAUUCAUGCACCUGCUUUAUCAAACUUAAUGUAAGCAGAUUUUUGGUUUUUGUUAUUAUUUGCAAUGUAAUAGGGUGCAUUAGCGGAGUCUGUAGAACUAUUAAUUCUGUGGAGCCUGUAAAACUAUUAAUUCUGUUAUACAGUAAAACUGCGUAUUUAUGUGACUAGUGAAGU